rnacentral:lncRNA from 1 species
GGCCCUUCCCAGGGGAGCUCGGAAGAGCAGAAACUUCAGCUCGGGCAGUGUUGCCAUCAAGUGCUCAUAGGAAGCCCCUCUAGACCUUUCUGAGCUCGCCUCUGCCCUGGGGAAUGUAGACACCCUCUGCCUGCGCCUAUGCACUUCAGGCUCUCAGUCAGAUCCGAGUCUGGCCCAGUUCCAGACAUGAGCAGACCCACGCCUGAUAUGACGCAAGGGAGACCCACCCCUAGGCAUUUGGAAAUUAAAGAGGAGCAAAGCAAAGCUUUGGGAUCCCUCUCUACCCACCGGCAACAUCUGGAGUUGAACCCUGGCGUGGUGAGGAAGCUGACACGGGUCACCAUAAGCUGCUUAACACAUGAGCAUUUACCACACUGAGGAGAGAAGGUCGGAACCCUGCCGGAGACAAAGACAUGGGUCUGCAUCUCCUCCAGCUGCUCCCAGAACCUGGCCUGGACCCAAUAACACUGAAGGUCCAUGCAUACAUUAGGCGCUUGGGUUGAGAUGCCAGGAGCCUCCGAAAUGUGACACACAGUCAACUCUUCACCGUGCGUUCCUAAUCCCACCUGACUGAGAAGAGUGACCAGCGGACCUAAGGCUCUCUUCUGGCCUACAUAGACGCCUGCUCUCACAUGCAAAAAAAAGCCCACCCCUACAUGUCUAAACACAAAUAAAAUCAUUUAUAAAC